AUUGAACGCUGGCGGAAUGCUUUACACAUGCAAGUCGAACGGCAGCACGGACUUCGGCCUGGUGGCGAGUGGCGAACGGGUGAGUAAUGUAUCGGAACGUGCCAAGUCGUGGGGGAUAACGUAGUGAAAAUUACGCUAAUACCGCAUACGAUCUAUGGAUGAAAGCGGGGGAUCGCAAGACCUCGCGCGAUUGGAGCGGCCGAUAUUAGAUUAGGUAGUUGGUUGGGUAAAGGCCCAACAAGCCAAAGAUCUGUAGCUGGUCUGAGAGGACGACCAGCCACACUGGAACUGAGACACGGUCCAGACUCCGACGGGAGGCAGCAGUGGGGAAUUUUUGACAAUGGGCGAAAGCCUGAUCCAGCCAUUCCGCGUGCAGGAUGAAGGCCCUCGGGUUGUAAACUGCUUUUGUACAGAACGAAAAGGUUUCUACUAAUACUAGGAGCUCAUGACGGUACUGUAAGAAUAAGCACCGGCUAACUACGUGCCAGCCGCCGCCGCAG
rnacentral:rRNA from 1 species